GUAUCACCGUUUCUCGUACGAUCACCGAAGUUAAGCAGCGUCGAGUUUAGUCCGUACCUAAAUGGGUGACCGCUUCCGAAUACCAGGUGCUGAAAG